UCUGUAGGUGGUUUGUUAAGUUGAAUGUUAAAUUUAUGGGCUCAACUCAUAAACUGCAUUCAAUACUGGCAGACUUGAGGAAGGAAGAGGUAAGCGGAAUUACCGGUGGAGCGGUGGAAUGCGUAGAUAUCGGUAGGAACACCAAUGGCGAAGGCAGCUUACUGGGCCUCUCCUGACACUGAGAGACGAAAGCGUGGGGAGCGAACGGAAUUAGAUACUCCGGUAGUCCACGCCGUAAACGAUGAUCACUAGCUGUUCGAGGUGUCGACCCCUUGAGUAGCGAAGCUAACGCGUUAAGUGAUCCGCCUGGGGAGUACGGUCGCAAGACUAAA
rnacentral:rRNA from 1 species